UGGGGAAUAUUGCACAAUGGGCGCAAGCCUGAUGCAGCAACGCCGCGUGAGGGACGACGGCCUUCGGGUUGUAAACCUCUUUUAGCAGGGAAGAAGCGAAAGUGACGGUACCUGCAGAAAAAGCGCCGGCUAACUACGUGCCAGCAGCCGCGGUAAUACGUAGGGCGCAAGCGUUAUCCGGAAUUAUUGGGCGUAAAGAGCUCGUAGGCGGUUUGUCGCGUCUGCUGUGAAAUCCGGAGGCUCAACCUCCGGCCUGCAGUGGGUACGGGCAGACUAGAGUGCGGGAGGGGAGAUUGGAAUUCCUGGUGUAGCGGUGGAAUGCGCAGAUAUCAGGAGGAACACCGAUGGCGAAGGCAGAUCUCUGGGCCGUAACUAACGCUGAGGAGCGAAAGGGUGGGGAGCAAACA
rnacentral:rRNA from 1 species